rnacentral:rRNA from 1 species
ACGUAGGAGGCGAGCGUUAUCCGGAUUCAUUGGGUUUAAAGGGUGCGUAGGCGGGCUAUUAAGUCAGUGGUGAAAUCCUGCAGCUUAACUGCAGAACUGCCGUUGAUACUGAUAGUCUUGAGUUUGGUUAAGGUAGGCGGAAUGUGUAAUGUAGCGGUGAAAUGCUUAGAUAUUACACAGAACACCAAUUGCGUAGGCAGCUUACUGAGCCGACACUGACGCUGAGGCACGAAAGCGUGGGGAUCGAACAGGAUUAGA